UACUGCAUCAGGAACUGAUUGGAUAAUAAUCAGGCACCAUCAGUUCUUAAUGCAUUGCC
rnacentral:pre_miRNA from 1 species